UCCCCAGUGGCGCAAUCGGUUAGCGCGCCGUACUUAUAAUGCGGAGGUUGUGAGUUCGAGCCUCACCUGGGGAA
rnacentral:tRNA from 1 species